GAAACUGUAGCUCAAUGGAAGAGUACUUCAGCAGCAUUGAAGAGGUUGGAGGUUCAAAUCCUCCCAGUUUCC
rnacentral:tRNA from 1 species